UACGUAGGGGGCAAGCGUUGUCCGGAUUUAUUGGGCGUAAAGAGCGUGUAGGCGGCUUGGUAGGUCCGCUGUGAAAACUCGAGGCUCAACCUCGAGAUGUCGGCGGAAACCACUUGGCUAGAGUCCGGAAGAGGAGAGUGGAAUUCUCGGUGUAGCGGUGAAAUACGCAGAUAUCGGGAAGAACACCUAUGGCGAAGGCAGCUCUCUGGGACGGUACUGACGCUGAGACGCGAAAGCGUGGGGAGCGAACAGG
rnacentral:rRNA from 1 species